UCAAAGCCUUGGGAGCUAGAGGACAUUUAUUUUCUCUUUUUGUAGUGUCUUUAGUUGAAGGUGCUUAGAGGGAAACCUUAGAAACCUCUUUUGUUAUAGCAUCUUUUAGGUUUUAGUUAGGAGCUUUAGGGGGGUGUAUUAGUAGAUAGGUGUAGGAGUAGAAUAGGGGGUGCCAAAGUGAAGGAAAGGAUCACACCUUCCUUGCCUUGCAUUUUAGCGCCGGUUCUAGCUUGUUUUGGAGGGAAUUUUGUUUUGUUUUAGCUUUCAAUUUUCAGCACCUUAGGCUAUAAAUAGAGGUGCCUUCCUUGUAAAUUUCAGAUUUGAAUUCAUCUAAAGAAACUAUACUCAAAAUUGGAGUGAGCAUUUGGAGAGCUUUUGAGCUUCUACUCUAGUCUUAUCUUGAAGGACCAUGGUUUCCUCAAGUGGCGGCUUCCACACUCAUCUAGGAGCAUCCAUACUUCUAGUGGCGUGAACAUCCAACCUAUCUUCCAUCUUCAUGAGCAUUCUCUUCUCCUUCCUUUCUUCUCUUUCAAUUACUCUUG
rnacentral:lncRNA from 1 species